AUUUUAUGGGAAUUCGGUAUUGAUCCUUUAAGGCAGAAUUACAGGUACCCAAUUCAAAGAUCUGCUGUCUAUUUGGAAAUUGCAACGGUCAACACUGAAAAGAUGAAGAUCGUAAUCGUCUUGCUUGUGGUACUAGCAGUUGGAACAGACUGUAGUUUGCAUCGAGUGUCCAAUGUACCCAUACGUGUUCCAAAACGAUGUCGUGGACAUUUGGAGUGGAAUUCCUGCGGUUCUGCUUGUCCGCCGAUUUGCGGGCAAAAGCAACCAUUAGGCUGCCACAAAAUGUGUGUCAGUGGCUGCGCGUGCCCCGGGGACAAGGUCAGGGUCUCCGCUAACAGCAUCUUGUGCGUGGACAGUAUGGAGGACUGUCCGCAGUACGCGUGAAACAGCCGACAUUACUGUGUCAAUAUUCUGUAAACAAGUUUGGUUCAAAAAUGAAAUGCAAUAAACAACGUAAAGAUUGUCA